ensembl:lncRNA
GUCUGAUUGUUGGUGUGAUUGUUCUUGUGUCCGGCUGCUCCCGAUGUAGAAGUGUGUGUUAGUGUGUGUAAGUGUGUGUUAGUGUGUGUAAGUGUGUGCAAGUGUGUGUUAGUGUGUGUUAGUGUGUGUAAGUGUGUGUUAGUGUGUAUUUGUAAGUGUGUGUUAGUGUGUGUAAGUGUGUGUUAGUGUGUGUGUGUAAGUGUGUGUUAGUGUGUGUUAGUGUGUGUAAGCGUGUGUUAAUGUGUGUAAGUGUGUGUUAGUGUGUGUAAGUGUGUGUAAGUGUGUGUUUGUGUGUGUAAAUGUGUGUUAGUGUGUAUAAGUGUGUGUUAGUGUGUGUUAGUGUGUGUUAGUGUGUGUUAGUGUGUGUUAGGGUGUGUGUGUAAGUGUGUGUUAGUGUGUGUAAAUGUGUGUUAGUGUGUGUAAGUGUGUGUUAGUGUGUGUAAGCGUGUGUUAGUGUGUGUUAGGGUGUGUGUGUAAGUGUGUGUUAGUGUGUUAGUGUGUGUAAGUGUGUGUUAGUGUGUGUAAGCGUGUGUAAGUGUGUGUUAGUGUGUGUAAGCGUGUGUUAGUGUGUGUUAGGGUGUGUGUGUUAGUGUUUGUUAGUGUGUGUAAAUGUGUGUUAGUGUGUGUUAGUGUGUGUUAGUGUGUGUUAGGGUGUGUGUGUUAGUGUUUGUUAGUGUGUGUAAAUGUGUGUUAGUGUGUGUAAGUGUGUGUUAGUGUGUGUUAGGGUGUGUGUGUUAGUGUUUGUUAUGUGUGUAAAUGUGUGUUAGUGUGUGUAAGUGUGUGUUAGUGUGUGUAAGCGUGUGUUAGUGUGUGUUAGGGUGUGUGUGUUAGUGUGUGUUAGUGUGUGUAAGUGUGUGUUAGUGUGUGUAAGCGUGUGUUAGUGUGUGUUAGGGUGUGUGUGUUAGUGUGUGUUAGUGUGUAAGUGUGUUAGUGUGUGUUAGGGUGUGUGUGUUAGUGUGUGUUAGUGUGUGUUAGUGUGUGUAAGUGUGUUAGUGUGUGUUAGGGUGUGUGUGUUAGUGUUUGUUAGUGUGUGUAAAUGUGUGUUAGUGUGUGUAAGCGUGUGUUAGUGUGUGUAAGUGUGUGUAAGUGUGUGUAAGCGUGUGUUAGUGUGUGUUAGGGUGUGUGUGUUAGUGUGUGUUAGUGUGUGUAAGUGUGUGUUAGUGUGUGUAAGUGUGUGUAAGUGUGUGUAAGCGUGUGUUAGUGUGUGUUAGGGUGUGUGUGUUAGUGUGUGUUAGUGUGUGUUAGUGUGUGUUAGUGUGUGUUAGGGUGUGUGUGUAAGUGUGUGUUAGUGUGUGUUAGGGUGUGUGUGUAAGCGUGUGUUAGUGUGUGUUAGGGUGUGUGUGUUAGGGUGUGUGUGUAAGCGUGUGUUAGUGUGUGUUAGGGUGUGUAAGCGUGUGUUAGUGUGUGUUAGGGUGUGUGUGUUAGUGUGUGUAAGUGUGUGUAAGUGUGUGUUAGUGUGUGUUAGUGUGUGUAAGCGUGUGUUAGUGUGUGUUAGGGUGUGUGUGUUAGUGUGUGUAAGUGUGUGUAAGUGUGUGUUAGUGUGUGUUAGUGUGUGUAAGCGUGUGUUAGUGUGUGUUAGGGUGUGUGUGUUAGUGUGUGUUAGUGUGUGUAAGUGUGUGUUAGUGAGCUGAGGUUCAGGAGCAGCCGGGUGAGGAGACUCUUCUCUCGGCUCAGCUCUUGGCAUUGCAGGGCUUUAUAAGGCUUUGCAGGGCCUCUCGCUCUCUCGCUAUCUCUAUCUAUCGCUUUCUCUGUCUAUCUGUCUGUCUGCCUUCUGUCUGUCUCUCUCUCUCUCUCUCUCUCUCUCUCUCUCUGUGUGUCUUUCUAUCUGUUUCUAUCUAUCUGUCUAUAUAUGUAAUUUUCCUCCUUUU